UACGUAGGGGGCAAGCGUUGUCCGGAAUUACUGGGUGUAAAGGGAGUGUAGGCGGGUACUUAAGUCAGAUGUGAAAUCUAAGAGCUCAACUCUUAGUCUGCAUUUGAAACUGGGUAUCUUGAGUACAGGAGAGGAAAGUGGAAUUCCACGUGUAGCGGUGAAAUGCGUAGAGAUGUGGAGGAACACCAGUGGCGAAGGCGACUUUCUGGACUGUAACUGACGCUGAGGCUCGAAAGUGUGGGGAGCAAACAGG
rnacentral:rRNA from 1 species